UGCGCAGGCGGAAAGAUAAGUCAGUGGUGAAAUCCUGCAGCUUAACUGUAGAAUUGCCGUUGAUACUGUUUUUUCUUGAGUGUGGUCAAGGAAGGCGGAAUGUGUAAUGUAGCGGUGAAAUGCUUAGAUAUUACACAGAACACCAAUUGCGAAGGCAGCUUUCUGGGCCGUAACUGACGCUCAUGCACGAAAGCGUGGGGAUCGAACA
rnacentral:rRNA from 1 species